GAACUUUGCUAGUUACUAUUUUUAAAGAAAUGUACCUCUGUGAGUGAUGCAACUUCAGAGAAGCAGAUAGGCAAGGCUGUAAGCAAGGAUCAGAUGCAUUUUGAACAAAUCCUGAGAAUGCAGCUUGAAGAAAAGCCUAGAGAUUCUUAAAGAUGUGUUGCUGAAGCCCAGUCAGAAAAGUAAAGCCCAGCGUAUAAAAGAAGAACGUGCAAUGAGACCUUCAAGUUGGAAUGUUGCUUCAGCACAGUCACUAAAGUUUGUGUGGAUGGUGCCAGCACCCUUCUCUUCACUCUUCUGCUCACUGAUGAAAGACAGUGCCAUCCUCCCAUGGGUAACCCCAGUCUGAUGUAUCAGCUUAGCUAAUGGAGAGCACGCUGAGGAAUGAAAAUAGGCUGAAGAAGGGUUGUUCUCAGUAACAUCACUGUGUUAGAACUUGUGAAGACAGCUAUGACAAAACCCUGAUAACUGGUCUCUUUUCAUACUUGACAACUGAUGCAGCUUAGGUUAGAUCAUCCAAAUGUAUCCUAGACUGGAUGUGUUGGCUAAAGUCCUUUGGAGCACUCACAGAAACCCUCUGGAUGGGAAUGCACUUACAGCAGCCUUUCUGCCAAGAAAUGCAGGGAUAAGAAAGAAACAUCAAAACAAUGUUCUUUUAGAUUGGGGAAUUUUGGUGUGAAUCUCUCAAGGGUCACUGAUACCAGCCUACAGUGGACUUGUCUUUAUUGAACCACAUUUAAUUUAUUUUCAACAAAGGUUUCAUUCCUUAAGUGAAAUUAACUCGAAGUGAACAUAUCAUGGUGAAAUGGUCUUGCCAAGGCAUAAUGAAGCAUCAGAAUAACACAUACUGGAGCCAGGUUUUGCCUUAUGCAGUACUGGAAUCUUAAGCCAUGGGGGGAACCCAGAAAAAUUUUGGACUUCUUUUCCUAACCUAUUUGAAAUGAAGUUUCCAGCUAAGGAUUUGUGAGUUAAAAUGAGUGAAGAGGCAUGAAUUAUUUCCUGCCACAUUUUUCUGUUACUUGUUUAUAAUCAAAUCGUGAUUUUAUGAACUUCAAAUUGCACUGAAUAAGCAGUGUAAAAGAAUAAGUCUCUUCCCAUUCAUAAGUACAGCUUUCCAAAUUGGGGGUAUAUGUCUGCUGGUAGUGCAUAGUGGGGACAUUUUAGUGCAUGCUGGGCUGUCACAGACACUAACAGCUUGUUGAAAAACCCUUCCAUUUCUUGUGGAGCACAUGAAACGAUGCUGUUCAGCAGAGACAGUGGAAACAAGGUGUGCAGUCCUUUCAGUUUUUAUUUAUGGCAAUGGGGAGUGUAUUGCUGGAGGUACUAAGAACAGAUUUACUUUUUGAAAGAAUCAAAUUUGUCUCAAUUGUCUCUGGAUGGAAACCCAUCUAUCCCAAUAGCCAUGGAAACAGCUCUUCUGAUCCCCUGCUACUUUGUGUUCUGAAAUAUUCGUCAGUUUCAUGAAUGGUUAAACAACUUCAUUCUUAAUCUCAUUAGUAGAAGGCUCUCAUGCAACACCCACUGAAAACAGCUGAAUGGCAUUCCCGAAUUCGAGUAGAUUUUAGUUCUGACACUAACAAAUGUCCCACUGGCUUAGCCUUUCAAAAGGCAGACAAAUGAAAAAUAACUUUAAGCACUUCUAUCAAAAAUAAAUAUAACUUUUUUUCAGAGAUCUGAUUCUCAGAGGUUCCCAUUGAUGUAGGCUAUAGCAGGCUUUGGAAUAUGACAUAUUUUUAUAGGGUUGUUUAUUUUAAAGCCAACUUCAAAACAUUGGGGGUUUUUUGGGUGUUUUUUUGUUUGUUUGUUUUUGGUUUUGUUUGUUUUUGUUUUAGGGGCUCAUGGCUAUUUAGAACAAACUCCCAAUAUCUUGCAAGUUACAGCUGCAGUCCUAAGUACAGUAGUGGGCAAUAAAUAGGAAAGAUAAAGUAUUCUGUAGCUGGGUUAGAGCAGAACAACAGAAAUAGACUGCUGCAUUCUUUCAAAACAAACAAAAAACAUAAUUGGAAAAAAUCAUUUAUAUAUUCUCUUACAUUAGAUGGGGCCACUGAGUGAAACAUUCACUGAUGAAUUACUCCUCUAAUCUGUGGAGGGAAACCAGCCACUGGUGAAUUAGAGUCCUGGAACAGAGCCAUGAGAACUAAAUGGCUAAAAAUGAAAACAGGCAAACAUUUGAAGAGUAUUCUAGAGAACACAGAUCUUUCAACACCUCCCCCUUUCCAUGGCUAAUUCAUUGUCAUGGAAACUGAAUUUAUCAAAAUGUUCGUGUUCACUCCUAGUGACCCAGUGAGUCGACUUACAGAGCUGGUGAAUGGUAACUCAGGCUGAAGCAAUUUUUACAAAUGAUAUGCAGCAGUUCAUAAGUCAGUAAAUUUUGAAUGGCAUCAUUGUACUUCCCAAGUAGUUUUCCCUAGUCUCAAAAGACUCUUUCUGUCUCAAGCUGGAGGUGUCUGAAACACCUACUAAUAAAUUAGCAUGGGUGGUAUGUAUGAUUCUAGCUCCUUUUUUCCCCUCCUCUGCUCUCCUUUAAUGUUUUUCUUCUUACCCUGUGAAUUUAUGCUAAAAUUUUGUUAUGUUAUUUCUUUACUUGAUACAUUUUCCACAGCAUUUUCCUGUGUUGACAUGUAGCCCAAGGAUGCAAAAAUCCUUCAUCACCUCAUGACAAACAUCUCUUCUUAUCUGUUACUGAAGAUAGGUGUUGACUACCAAGUGUAAUGCACAAUGACUACUGUAUGUAGCCAGCUCUGCCAAAUCCAAAAUAACCCUGGAACUCUGUGUUUUCACCAUGUCUCAGAAGAGGAAAAGGAGGAAAUAAAACAUGCUUGAUAUGUUCUUUCAAACUAAUGAAAAUUCAUUGCUGCUUGGCUUAUGAUUUCAUCAGAUUGACCAUAUGCAAGCUGCCUUUAUGCUGAAGGAUCCCACCCGGAAGUGACUACUCAAGAGCCAUUACUCAAAGUGAACGUGUUUCUGAGGUUUACUUGAUUUGUCCACCUGUUGGUGACAAUAUGAGCAAGGAUGAGGAAUAACAGUGAAUGGAUAUGAAGAGAAAGAGAAUUGUGUCAAAGAAGAUUAGAGAGAAGUAUACAGACACAGCAAAUCCAGCUUGAUAGUUCUAGGAGAUUUAAUAGAGCAAGGAAAUCAAAGUUUAGUCUUACAAAGCUGUCUAAACUGGGGGCAGUAUUCCUCUGCUGUGUUCUGGCUCCUACUGCGCAGGUUCUCUGAUUCCAUCCCACACUGAGGGGUCUGCUGUCAAGGAUGUUGUGUCAAAAUUAAUGAACGAAUUCACUUUCAUUUAGUAUGAAAAACGGAUAUAUCUUCUAGAACAUACUGAGAGAUGAGACUGGUCAAAACCAGUUUGGACCAAUGACGAUACGUUGAGUUAAACACUGGAGCACUCAGAGGAUCACAAAGACUUCAGCGCCUGCUGACACAAAAAGAUCGAGAGAUGUGUUUCUUCAGAGAUAAAUUCUAGAGUGGAUCAGAGAUAUUAAACAGUUGAUUUAGUGGCAAAAGAAAUAAGGGUAAUUUGUGCAUAGUAAGAAUUUUAUUUGGAACAAUCCUUGUUAUAUAAAACCCAUAAAUGGCAGGAAUUUGAAUGUAAAGUACCAGAAAUUAUGGACUAUAUGUACAUUAGUAAAUAAUUCAAUACAGUAGGGAAGGAUCAGCAGAUCAAAGCAGGACAUGUUGGAAUUUAUGUCAUACAUGAAGUCUGGAGUUUCAGUUCUACACUGGAUUUAACAUGAUUUCCCUGACUAAACAUAUCAGCUCUGUGUAUGGCUCAAAGCAGCCAAAAGGACCAGUCACUGUGUCACAUCCUUCUGUGAGUCAUGACAUGAAGAUACAUUUGGUGCAUACAUCAAGCCACCAUUUUUAUUUAGAUUUCUGUUAAAGAAAUCAGCUUUGCAGUGAGUGAAGUUACUCUGAGCUGAAUUGCAUGUUUUGCUCUAGAACAACAAGCAAUAGAAAAAUUUCUUAAUAAAUUAAUAAAAAUAUAUCUGUUCAUAUACCUCAAGGUGUGUCUAGUUAUAACUCCAACUUCAAUGAAUUUAUAUUCAGUAUUUGAUUUUUCUCCAUGUGUCUAUUCUCCCCCAAAUGAAAUAUAAAGGACUUAAUAGGUAUUACAUAAAUGCAAACAUUUAUAGACUCAUAGGAUCAUGGGCUGGAAGUGACCUUAAUUUUUUUUUAUUUUCCACCUCCCUGCUGAGGGCAGAGAUGCCACCCUGAUACAUAAGCAUUUUAUAAAAGUAAACUUUAACUGGAGUUAUGUUGAACAAAUUUUUUUAAUUUUCCUUGCUUCAUCUCUUUGUAUGUAUGCAUAUAGUGUUUUUACACACUUUUUAAAAUUAAGAAUUGAUGAAAUUUUUCAUUUGAAAGAAAAACUGUACUAUGUGUUGCUAGUACUGUUAAGCUACAGAUGUAGCAGAAGAGUAAAUGGUAAUAUUAUAGGUUCAUGCUUUUAAUUUAUUAAUUUAGAAAUUUUAUUUUUCAGUGCUGUAUGUUUCUCUCAUAUUUUGCAUUCUAGAUGUUUUACUAUGCUGUUUUCCCCUUCUUUUUAAAGCACCACUAAUUCAUCUCAGUGCAGCAAUAAUCAGUAACUGGGAAGGAGUUUGGAAGGAGAGGGAGGGAAAGAGAGAGCUUUUGAAGUAAAUGAAGCAUUACCUAUGACUGCUGCACAUGCCAGUGCCUGUUUCUCUACUAGCAUCAUAUCCCCUCUUCUGAGCAUUUGAAUGAGAACUCAUUUCCCAGAUCAUUCCAUGCUCAAGGGCAAUAGUUACCUUCACCACAGAGAGAAUUAGCACUGACUGUUAUAAUUUUGGAAAUACAUAGCAAUCACUUAUGACAGAAACUCAGACCUCAGAAUCCAUUAAUGAAGAAUGACAGAGCUGAGCUCAGAGAUGGUGGCCCAGAGCUGCUAGAUUUGCUGUUCUACACAAUUGGUUCAUGGAAUCCCUAUGUAGAUCAUCUUCCAUUUUCUUUUUCUGUCUUUUUCCUACUUUCCACUAGUCUUUAUGAUUUGAUCCACUUAGCCUCUCAGCUGUAUUACCGUUUUUGUUCAUUGCAUUGCUUUCCUUACCAUUCUGUUUGGAUACUUUUUUGGAUUAAUCAUAUCUUAAAAAGAAAAUGCUUAAAUGAACUAUGUUUUACAGUUGCUUUGCAUCAGCAUGAACUCCUUGUUUUUCUUGUAUGUUGUCCAGAUAGCUGCUUUUGUUUUAUUUCACAGAAUCAUAUUCAUAGAACAGCCUGGGUUUGAAGGCACCUAAAGAUCGUCUAGCUCCAACCUCCCUGCUGUGGACACAGUAAUAUUUCAAUUGACCAAGUUACUCAGAGCUCUAUCUUUGAUCCUCUGUAUUUCAAAAUUAAACUUUAUUUUACUUUGCAGGUCUUAAGGAUGCAUGAAAGCCAUGUGUAGGUGUAACUAACACUAUUUACACUAACUAACUAACUAUUUACACUGUUGGGGGUAACAUAAUGUUCAUAAAACUUCUUUUGGGAUUCUGCAAUUUGUGGUAAACCAAAAAAAUAUAACGUUAAAGCUCACUUCUAAGUACACAUGCUCUCUAAUAACAUUUAUUUUCAAAUGGAAUUACAGAAAAUCUAAAGUCUGAGCCUGAUGUCUCUCUCUCUGAGUAAGUUUCAUUUUCACAUACUAUUAGAUAGAUAUUUGUAACUGGAAAAAAAAGGCUUGAAGCAAUGUCUGAGAAAUACCAUAGAUAAAGAUCUACAUUGUUUUGAAUUAAUGUUUACUUGGCACUAGUACUUUUCUUUCUGAAGGAAUCUCGGAGACACUUGUGUUUAAAACACUUAUGAUUAGAGAUUAUUUUAUCAUAAAUAUGCCAGUCUCAUGCAUACAAAUUUUGUUGAGCUAGGGACACCCUGCAGAAUGAUUUACAGCUGGACUUCGUGGCACUGACCACAGCCCUCGGAGACUAGUGGUUCCACCAGUUUUCAAUGCACACUACUUAUCUCUUCCAUACUUCCUCAUUUUGUCCAUGAAGGUGAUAUGGGAGAGUCUUGAAAACCUUACUAAAGUUGGAAUAAACAUCAGCCACUUCUCUCACUGCCCCCUGCUACCCCUUUGCCACCCUGAGUUGAGCUAAUCCUUUUGUUGUGAAGGCUACAAGGUUAUCAGGCAUGACUUCCCCAUUGUAAAUCCAUGCUGACCAAUCUUAUCACUUUCUUUCCUUUAACACAUUUGGAAAAGGUUUCCAGGGCUAUUUGCUCCAUUGCAUUCUCCAAGACUUAGGUGCAGCUGACUGAAUUGUAGUUCUCUGAACCCUACUUAC